GAUCAUGUGAAGUAUUCUGUAUAAGGUGGUAUGCAGACAUGGACCGGUGCUGUAUUUUACAAUAUAUAAAUCGAAGCUUAUGAAGGAAAACGGCCAGCAGGGCAGGUGGAACAAUGUGGACUGCAGCAGCCUUCUGAAAGGAGGCAGAGCCAGGUGGAGAAGCUGGAAG